GGACAAUAUUUGCUGGGUUUGUGACCUUUGGUUCCUCAGAUGAGGUCAACAAUGCAAUUGAAUCAUUGGAUGGUGUUGACCUAAAUGGCAGGUCAAUCCGAGUAAGCAUGGCUGAAGCUAGGCCAAGGCGUCAAUUUUGAUCAUUGAACCUUUUGAGCUUUCUUCAACUAAGAACACACUCGGGGUUCCUAGGAUGAUGCAGCUGCAGUCUUUUGUUGUCACCAAAUUUUGAAGAAUAUAUGCUUCUUUCAACACAUUAAUGGCGUAUUCGAUCUCUGCAUGCAGAAGAACAAGGCCCGUAAAUUUGUUGAAACUUUCAAUGUAUUUGCUCCAAAUUCUACGCUUUGGAUAAGAUGCUAAUAUGUAUGUAAUCCAUCUCUGAUUGCUUUUGAUGGAGUAGGUACAUGAAUGGUUGAAUCAUUUGGCUUUUUGUUGUAAUUUUGAUUUUUGGGUACAAUUGGGGGUCUCACAGCCCAGAACAAAAUCUACAAACAACUACAGGGUGGGAGGCUUUUGGUUGUAUUGGGUAUUCAAAAUUUGUGAUUGUUGAAUUAAUUUGCAGGGGAAAAUGUGAAUCCAUCUUAUUUUAGUCUA